GAUGAAGAACGUAGUGAAAUGCGAUAAGUAAUGUGAAUUGCAGAAUUCAGUGAAUCAUCGAAUCUUUGAACGCACAUUGCGCCCCCCGGCAUUCCGGGGAGCAUGCCUGUUCGAGCGUCCCUUGGAAUACCCCUCACGCCGGCGGAGGCGUGGUCAUGGCGGCGGUGGCGUGCCCCGAGAGGGAGGCCACCGCGCUGGAAUCCAUGGGCGGACGCCUGCCGCGUGGCCGAGCGUGAUAAGACGCACUGGCGCUCGCGCGCGGCGAGGCUGCCGGCCCUGGCCCGCUCGUCGGGCGGGGACAGCAACACUUGGGAACUCCUCGAAUCAGGUAGGGAUACCCGCUGAACUUAAGCAUAUCAAUAAGCGGAGGA
rnacentral:misc_RNA from 1 species